GUUCUGGCCCUUAGCUCAGUUAGACCACUUGAGGUACAACAGUAAAAGUAAGGGGUGUGUUGCUUUCAGAGUCUAACACUUGUUUAGUUUAUUUAAAAACUAUUUCAUGAGCAGAUUUUCACUGACAGUUUUUGUUGUUGUUGUUUUGUCUUUUUAAUUUCUUUUAAUAGUUUCUUCAGACAGUGAAAUUGCUCAUUACGCAGGUACAACUUAAACUGCAGUUUGGGUCCAUAUAGGAACCAUUCACCAAAAACUCUGUGGUAACAGAACUAGGAAAUCCUCUUGAGAAGAGGGCCUUAAUGACCUUUUUGUGAAAAAGUUUUUGGAGAGAAUUUCUGGACUUUUUUUUCUGUCUCUGCCACAAUAUUUGCUUUGGAGAUAGGAGUUAGGUAUGAGAACAGGAAGAGAAAUGGAGCUGACCCUGUUAACAUUCUGGUUAUAGUGAUAUGCCUAAAGGGAGAAAAUGAUUUCAGGUGACCACGGUGAACUGUCUAGCUUAAUGAGGAGUUUUAUAUGUAUGAUUUAAACAGUUGGAAAUUUAAAGUCCCACAGUGUUCUUUGGCUGUUUAGCAAUUGUUUGUAUGAGUGUUUUAAAGAAAAUAACAGCUGCUGUCUUUGGUAACACAAAUGAAGGUGGAUUUUUAAAAGGUUUUGUAUCUUGACCCCUUUCUACAAUGAUGGAGUAGGUCUGUAUUGCUCCAUAUAAAUUACAGAAUGAAAAUAGAGGGGGUAUAAGUUUGACUAAAUUCUACCUUUUUAUAGUUUCAUUUUUUUUAACUUAUAUAGAAUAUAUUGAUUAUAAAUUUGAUUUUUUCUGAAUUUUUUUGACAUGUUUUACUCAGUUACAUGAGUACAAAGGAUAUUUUCAGUCCUAUAAUCGUUAAUUGCAGUCUUUAAAAAAAAAAAUUCACCCUAUUGUUCUACUUGUUGUCUGUUCACAGUAAGUUCAUUUCAAGGUUUGUGCCAGUGGGUAUUAUUGGUGCUUUUUGAAGUCAAGGUGGAUUGUCCAGGAAGGUCUUGUUAAUGUUAUGUUCAUCUAUAAUGGCAUAUUGUGAUGCCAAUGCCGGUGUUUUAAGUGGAAAAAAAAUGACCUUGCUUUGUGCUGU
rnacentral:lncRNA from 1 species